rnacentral:rRNA from 1 species
CUCUGGGUCACCUCCCACCCGUGUUUAUUUUACCUUGUUGCUUCGGCGGGCCCGCCUUAACUGGCCGCCGGGGGGCUCACGCCCCCGGGCCCGCGCCCGCCGAAGACACCCUCGAACUCUGUCUGAAGAUUGAAGUCUGAGUGAAAAUAUAAAUUAUUUAAAACUUUCAACAACGGAUCUCUUGGUUCCGGCAUCGAUGAAGAACGCAGCGAAAUGCGAUACGUAAUGUGAAUUGCAAAUUCAGUGAAUCAUCGAGUCUUUGAACGCACAUUGCGCCCCCUGGUAUUCCGGGGGGCAUGCCUGUCCGAGCGUCAUUGCUGCCCUCAAGCCCGGCUUGUGUGUUGGGCCCCGUCCUCCGAUCUCCGGGGGACGGGCCCGAAAGGCAGCGGCGGCACCGCGUCCGGUCCUCGAGCGUAUGGGGCUUUGUCACCCGCUCUGUAGGCCCGGCCGGCGCUUGCCGAUCAACCCAAAUUUUUAUCCAGGUUGACCUCGGAUCAGGUAGG